UACGUAGGGGGCAAGCGUUGUCCGGAAUCAUUGGGCGUAAAGGGCGCGUAGGUGGCCCGGUCAGUCCGUGGUGAAAGCGCGGGGCUCAACCCUGCGUCGGCCAUGGAUACUGCCGCGGCUCGAGCACUGUAGAGGCAGGCGGAAUUCCGGGUGUAGCGGUGGAAUGCGUAGAGAUCCGGAAGAACACCGGUGGCGAAGGCGGCCUGCUGGGCAGUUUAGCUGACACUGAGGCGCGACAGCGUGGGGAGCAAACAGG
rnacentral:rRNA from 1 species